UAUACCAGUUGCUUACAGAAAGUAAGUGUAGACGUUUCGUUACGUACGCCGUGUAGUUUUUUGUGGCUAGUCCCAACUGUUUUAGUUUUGUUUUUGGUUUACCAUUUCACCAGCGGCCCUGGAAUCACAUCCGGCUGAAACCUCAGAAAAUAUGGGAGUCUCAGAGGAAAUUACACCUACGGCUGGGGUGGAGCCGCGACCGCCAGGACAAGAACAUAGUGAUGGAAGUGAUCCAGAGCCGGACGAUUUUGCUCCAAAACGAAAACAGCGUCGAUAUCGAACCACUUUUACUAGUUUUCAAUUGGAGGAAUUGGAGAAGGCGUUUUCCCGGACGCACUAUCCAGACGUUUUCACAAGGGAAGAGCUGGCAAUGAAAAUUGGAUUAACGGAAGCAAGAAUACAGGUAAGAAAAUGAAAACUG